rnacentral:rRNA from 1 species
UACGAAGGGGGCUAGCGUUGCUCGGAAUCACUGGGCGUAAAGGGCGCGUAGGCGGCCGUUCAAGUCGGGGGUGAAAGCCUGUGGCUCAACCACAGAAUGGCCCUCGAUACUGGAUGGCUCGAGACCGGAAGAGGUUGGUGGAACUGCGAGUGUAGAGGUGAAAUUCGUAGAUAUUGGGAAGAACACCGGUGGCGAAGGCGGCGAGCUGGUCCAUUACUGACGCUGAGGCGCGACAGCGUGGGGAGCAAACAGG